rnacentral:rRNA from 1 species
AGUGAACGCUGGCGGUAGGCCUAACACAUGCCAGUCGAACGGCAGCACAGUAAGAGCUUGCUCUUACUGGUGGCGAGUGGCGGACGGGUGAGGAAUACAUCGGAAUCUACUUUUUCGUGGGGGAUAACGUAGGGAAACUUACGCUAAUACCGCAUACGACCUACGGGUGAAAGCAGGGGAUCUUCGGACCUUGCGCGAUUGAAUGAGCCGAUGUCGGAUUAGCUAGUUGGCGGGGUAAAGGCCCACCAAGGCGACGAUCCGUAGCUGGUCUGAGAGGAUGAUCAGCCACACUGGAACUGAGACACGGUCCAGACUCCUACGGGAGGCAGCAGUGGGGAAUAUUGGACAAUGGGCGCAAGCCUGAUCCAGCCAUACCGCGUGGGUGAAGAAGGCCUUCGGGUUGUAAAGCCCUUUUGUUGGGAAAGAAAAGCAGCAGGUUAAUACCCCGCUGUUCUGACGGUACCCAAAGAAUAAGCACCGGCUAACUUCGUG